rnacentral:miRNA from 1 species
UCCUGUCCGUGCCACCUUGCGC